rnacentral:rRNA from 1 species
GACGAACGCUGGCGGCGUGCCUAAUACAUGCAAGUUGAGCGAUGAAGAUUGGUGCUUGCACCAAUUUGAAGAGCAGCGAACGGGUGAGUAACGCGUGGGGAAUCUGCCUUUGAGCGGGGGACAACAUUUGGAAACGAAUGCUAAUACCGCAUAACAACUUUAAACAUAAGUUUUAAGUUUGAAAGAUGCAAUUGCAUCACUCAAAGAUGAUCCCGCGUUGUAUUAGCUAGUUGGUGAGGUAAAGGCUCGCCAAGGCGAUGAUACAUAGCCGACCUGAGAGGGUGAUCGGCCACAUUGGGACUGAGACACGGCCCAAACUCCUACGGGAGGCAGCAGUGGGGAAUCUUCGGCAAUGGACGAAAGUCUGACCGAGCAACGCCGCGUGAGUGAAGAAGGUUUUCGGAUCGUAAAACUCUGUUGGUAGAGAAGAACGUUGGUGAGAGUGGAAAGCUCAUCAAGUGACGGUAACUACCCAGAAAGGGACGGCUAACUACGUG